GCGAGCCGGUGGGCGGGCCACGGGGUUUCCCUGGGGAAGUUCCUCCCUCGCCGCAGGAUGCACGACGCUGAGAGGCGUAACCGGAGACGGUUGGCUACGGAACAGAAACGAGACCCGCUUCGCCAUACGCUGUGAAGGAGAGAUCCGGAGAUCGGCGGAAUCCGGGAUGAAACGGCCGACCCGUGCAGAGCAAGGCCGAACGUGGUCGUCGACGGGCCUGCACCAGACCAAGGUUGGCUGCUAAGCUGAAUCCCGCCUAGAACAGAAGGAGGACUACGGCCGGCCACGC
rnacentral:RNase_P_RNA from 1 species